UUGACGGGACCCGCACAAGCGGUGGAUCAUGUUUGUUUAAUUCGAUGAUACGCGAAGAACCUUACCAGGUCUUGACAUCCCCCGCGAUGCUUUAGAGAUAAAGCGGAGGUAUUCGGGGAGACAGGUGGUGCAUGGUUGUCGUCAGCUCGUGUCGUGAGAUGUUGGGUUAAGUCCCGCAACGAGCGCAACCCCUAUUGCUAGUUACCAUCAUUAAGUUGGGGACUCUAGCGAGACUGCCAGUGAUAAACUGGAGGAAGGUGGGGAUGACGUCAAAUCAUCAUGCCCCUUAUGACCUGGGCUACAAACGUGAUACAAUGGCUGGAACAAAGGGAUGCGAAGCAGUGAUGUGGAGCGAAACCCAUAAAAACAGUCUCAGUUCGGAUUGAAGUCUGCAACUCGACUUCAUGAAGUCGGAAUCGCUAGUAAUCGCGGAUCAGAACGCCGCGGUGAAUACGUUCUCGGGGUUU
rnacentral:rRNA from 1 species